rnacentral:tRNA from 1 species
GCUCAGUUGGUUAAGUGUCCAACUCUUGGUUUCAACUCAAGUCAUGAUCUCAUGAUUUGUGGGUUCAAGCCCCACAUUGGGCU